UGCCAUAACUUUGUCAUUUCUCAACGAAAUCAAGUGAUUCCAAAACGAAAGUUGUAGCCCUUGAAGAUACAAAGAGAAUGGUACCUUGCACAACACCUAGUUCGCCGUGGUUUGGCCGGAAACUGCCUCGAAAGCCUCGGAGGUCGCCGGAAACUGGGUAUUUUUCAAAUGAGUAUAACUUCUUCAAUACUCAACGAAAUUGAGUGAAACAAAAAGGAAAGUUGUAGUACUUGACGAGACGAAGAGAUGGAUACCUACCUCGACUCCUAACUCGCCGGGGAUUCGCCGGAAAAAUCCUCGAAAGCUCCGGCCAAACUUUGAACUUGUCGAUCUCCGUGUUCUUACGUCCAAAAACUUCCAACGAAGCACUCCGAGCUUCCUUGGGACCUCACUAAGCUCGCUGUGAUCUUGUUUUAGCCUAAAUCGUAACCAUUUAAAAGAUCAUGAACAGUGCUCUUCCACGGGGAGUUUAGAAUCUAGGUUUUCCGAAGUAAAACUUACCUGAAAUUGGUGUCUACGUGAUCGUUGAGGUUCCAGGAGUUCAAUGGUGGUCUUAACUCCGUCGUUGGUAUAGAAGUUUAGUGUGGUUUUGGAGCUUGUCCGUGUGAGUUCGAAGGAGAGGGAGAGAGAACUGAGAGUUGCGUGAGGGAGGAGAGAGAGAGGGACAAGG
rnacentral:lncRNA from 1 species